CCUACGGGGCGCUGCAGUGGGGGAUAUUGCACAAUGGGGGGAACCCUGAUGCAGCGACGCCGCGUGGGUGAAGGAGUGCUUCGGCAUGUAAAGCCCUAUCGGCAGGGAAGAAGCAAGACGGUACCUGACUAAGAAGCCCCGGCUAACUACGUGCCAGCAGCCGCGGUAAUACGUAGGAUGCGAGCGUUAUCCGGAUUUAUUGGGUUUAAAGGGUGCGUAGGCGGUCCGUUAAGUCAGCGGUAAAAUUGCGGGGCUCAACCCCGUCGAGCCGUUGAAACUGGCAGACUUGAGUUGGCGAGAAGUACGCGGAAUGCGCGGUGUAGCGGUGAAAUGCAUAGAUAUCGCGCAGAACUCCGAUUGCGAAGGCAGCGUACCGGCGCCAGACUGACGCUGAGGCACGAAAGCGUGGGGAUCGAACAGGAUUAGAUACCCCGGUAGUC
rnacentral:rRNA from 1 species